rnacentral:lncRNA from 1 species
GUCCUUUGGUUUAGUUCUCAUCUGCCCUAAUUCGCAAAUUUCUCCAAAAUCCCCAAAUCGCGCCGCCUCCGGUUUGAAUACCGCCGCCCGUCACCGCUCCUCUGCCGGUGAGCACGCCGCCGCCUGAAACCCGUUGGCCGGCCGUUCCUCCUGCAGCUUCGCCGCCGCCGCCUGCAACCCCUCCGCCGGCCGAACCUCCUCCAGCUUCUCCAUCCGUACGCCACAGUAGCAAUUCCCUCCGCCGCAGCAGCAAUUCUCCUUAUUCCCUAUAAAGCUGCUGCUGUGUGUGUGUGUGUAUUCUUUUGAUUUAUGGACUGGAAACCGGUAAGCUUAUAUUUCCUGUUUCUGUAUUUAAAUUAUUAAUUUUCUUAUCCUCUGUGUAGUUUUUGAUUGAAGAUCUUACUUUAUUGCAAACAAUAAACUUAAGUUUCUUCCUCAUAUUUUUUCACCAUUCAUUUUCUAGCUAUGUAAAUUUAGUAAAACAUCUGUUGUUCUCUCUUCUGUUCGAAACAAGUUAAUGAGUAUAGUCAAAAUGAAAGCUUAGGAUUUAGGCAAUUGUUUGUCUCCGACAAUAUUAGAGAUUGGAGUUAGCUUUUUAUGAUUUUUUGUACCUUUAUUCUUUUCUAUUGUAUAGUAUGAUACGUGUGUUGGGAAUUUUCUGCUAUAGUGUUUAUGUUGUGCUGAAUUGAUAUGCAAGUCAAAACUCAAAUUCAUAUUCACGUAAAUUUCAGAGUGACAUGCCGGGAUUGGUUCCAGCUUAGUUUAAAGGAAGGCCUCACUGUGUUCCGGGAUUUAUGUGAGUGGGGUAUUCUUUUGAUUUAUGUGAAUUAGGCUAUCUCCUUAUUCCCUAUAAAGCUGCUGUUGUGUGUGUGUAUUCUUUUGAUUUAUGUGAGUGGGGUAUUCUGAUCUACUCUUCUAAAGCAUAAUUGAUAUAAAGCUGCUGCUGCUGCUGUGUGUAUUCCCUAUAAAUUGGAGCUUUAUCUAGAACAUGUAGUGCCUUUUCUUUAUUCUGAGUGUAUUCCCUAUAAAUUGGAGCUUUAUCUAGAACAUGCUGCUGCCAUAAUAGACAAUUAUUAAUGAUAUAUACAUUUUUAAUUUGUAUAUAUGAUGUGCAUGCAUCAGUGAGUGUAUUUUUAAUUUUAUUUUGUUUACAAGGAAGUUAAGAUCUCCCCUUCUUUUCCAGCUAAUUAUAAUUAAAGUCGAGUAUAUCAUAUAUAUGCAUUGACAUCGCACCUACUAGCAACUUUUAUUAGCUGCACAACUUGGAAAGUCUGUUGUAGAGAGCUAAGCUAUACUAGUAGUUUCAAACACACUAUCUUUCUCUUCUUUUUAUUCUAUGCGAAUUCAAUCAAAUUAAUUAUAAACUGUUUUUUGUAGUCCUUUUACUUUUGUUUUCAAAUAUAUAUAAUUAAUUGGAUUGUAUAAUCAACUAACUUCUCCACUUCUAUUUAAACUUCACAUUCACGAGGACAUUGGUGCAUAUAUAUAUUUUCUCAUGUAGAACAUGUUCAAAUAAAUGAUACUUGUAUUUUCAUUACAGAUCAACUUAUAGUUGUGCAGCCGUCAGACUUUGUUGCCAUAUUCACUUGAUUUUGCUGAAAGGUUAGUCUUUCGCAAUUUUAUUUAGGAUUAUAUAUGUUGAUUGAAUUUGUAUAAGCAUGAUUAUGUGUUUGUAUUAUCGCCGGUGGGGGAGAGGCGAAGAGCAUGAUUAGAUAAGCAUGUAUCUAGGUAGUAAAUGGAGAUUAGGUUGGGAGAUGGCUGUGUUCCAUCUCAUUUUGUUGCUGUGGUGAUGGCUUGGAGCCGCGUAUAUGUUAUUUGUUUGAAUAUGUGUCCUUUAGGCAUUUGUUCGAUAACUUGGUAGAAAAUAAAAAAUAGGGAAUGUUUUUUUUAUCGACCCCUAGUAGAUUAUAUAAAUUAUGACUUUAUAUUCUUUAGGUAUUUGUUGAAAUGAGUGAAAAUCGUGAGUGGAUGUAUAGACGGUUUUUACCCGACGGAGCUUUCAACCCCGC